rnacentral:rRNA from 14 species
ACCUGAAAUCAGGCUAGAGGACCCGCUGAGUUGAAGCAUCUUCCUAAGCGGAGGAAAAGAAACUAACAAGGAUUCCCCCAGUAAGGGCGACUGAACAGGGAAGAGCUCAGAUUGUAAAGCUCUGCGGGGUUCCCGCAGUAGCAUUGUAGUCUAGAGAGGUACGGCCAUCCGCGGCCCCGGGAGAAUUCAGCUGGGAUGCUGAAUCAGAGAGGGUGACAAUCCCGUCUGUGCCUGGGUGAUCUGCGUGAGUACGGUCUAUCCUCGACGAGUCGUGUUGCUUGGGACUGCAGCACUAAGUGGGUGGUAAAUUCCAUCUAAAGCUAAAUAUUGGUGUGAGACCGAUAGCGAACAAGUACCGUGAGGGAAAGAUGAAAAGCACUUUGAAAAGAGAGUGAAAGAGUACCUGAAAUUGCUGAAAAGGAACCGUAGGGAGGUAGUGUUGGAGGCAUU